rnacentral:rRNA from 1 species
GCUUGUCUCAAAGAUUAAGCCAUGCAUGUCUUAGUGUAAAUAACUCUUAUGAAACUGCGAAUGGCUCAUUAAAUCAGUUAUCGUUUAUUUGAUGGUCCCUUACUACAUGGAUAACCGUAGUAAUUCUAGAGCUAAUACAUGCACAAAAUCCCGACUUACGAAGGGAUGUAUUUAUUAGAUACAAACCAACAUCGUGGUGAUUCAUAAUAACUUUGCGAAUCGUAUGCCUCACGGCGACGAUGAAUCAUUCAAAUUUCUGCCCUAUCAACUUUCGACGGUAGGAUAGAGGCCUACUGUGGUGAUAACGGGUAACGAAGAAUAAGGGUUCGAUUUCGGAGAGGGAGCCUGAGAAACGGCUACCACAUCCAAGGAAGGCAGCAGG